rnacentral:rRNA from 1 species
UACGGAGGAUGCGAGCGUUAUCCGGAUUCAUUGGGUUUAAAGGGUGCGCAGGCGGCCUGUCAAGUCAGCGGUGAAAUUCAGGGGCCCAACCCCGGAAGUGCCGUUGAUACUGUCGGGCUGGAAUGCGGUCGAAGCGGGCGGAAUGUGGCGUGUAGCGGUGAAAUGCGUAGAUAUGCCACAGAACGCCGAUAGCGAAGGCAGCUCGCCAGGCCUGCAUUGACGCUCGGGCACGAAAGCGUGGGGAUCGAAC